GAUGAACGCUAGCUACAGGCUUAACACAUGCAAGUCGAGGGGCGAGCAUUUUUAUUAGCAAUAUAAAGAAUGGCGACCGGCGCACGGGUGGAGUAACACGUAUCCAACCUGCCGAUAACUCGGGGAGUAACCCUUCGAAGAAGGCCUAAUACCCGAUGGCAUAUCCCUUCCGCCUGGUUGGGAUAUUAAAGAACUUCGGUUAUCGAUGGGGAUGCGUUCCAUUAGCUUGUUGGCGGGGUAACGGCCCACCAAGGCUUCGAUGGAUAGGGGUUC
rnacentral:rRNA from 1 species